AGGGAAUGGCCGAGGAAGGGACAGCUUGUGAUAUGGGUGAAGGGAAUGGCCGAGGAAGGGACAGCUUGGGAUAUGGGUGAAGGGAAUGGCCGAGGAAGGGACAGCUUGUGAUAUGGGUGAAGGGAAUGGCCGAGGAAGGGACAGCUUGUGAUAUAGGUGAAGGGAAUGGCCGAGGAAGGGACAGCUUGUGAUAUGGGUGAAGGGAAUGGCCGAGGAAGGGACAGCUUGUGAUAUAGGUGAAGGGAAUGGCCGAGGAAGGGACAGCUUGGGAUAUGGGUGAAGGGAAUGGCCGAGGAAGGGACA